rnacentral:rRNA from 1 species
AUUGAACGCUGGCGGAAUGCUUUACACAUGCAAGUCGAACGGCAGCACGGGUGCUUGCACCUGGUGGCGAGUGGCGAACGGGUGAGUAAUACAUCGGAACGUACCCAGUUAUGGGGGAUAACUAACCGAAAGGUUAGCUAAUACCGCAUACGCCCUGAGGGGGAAAGCGGGGGACCGUAAGGCCUCGCGUAAUUGGAGCGGCCGAUGUCUGAUUAGCUAGUUGGUGAGGUAAAGGCUCACCAAGGCGACGAUCAGUAGAAGGUCUGAGAGGAGGAUCGGCCACCCUGGACCUGAGACACGGUCCAGACUCCUAGGGGGGGCGGCAGUGGGGAUUUUUGGAAAAGGGGGGAAAGCUUGUUCCGGCAAUCCCGCGUGGGUGAAAAAGGCCUUCGGUUUGUAAAGCUUUUUCGGAAGGAAGAAACGCUCUGGGAUAAUACUCCGGGGUAAUGACGGUACCUGAAGAAGAAGCACCGGCUAACUACGUGCCAGCCGCCGCCGUAA